CACAGCUCUGCCAUGGGGAAAGACAGCAACCUCUGUGCAGCAUGUUCCAAUCUUGAGUAAAACGUCCAUCUGAGCAACAUCACAGGCAAAGAGACAAGAUCCUGAAGACUUCAUGAUGAUGCCGACUUCCUUCUUCUCUAAUUGUCCAAUUAGUCAUGAUGCUACAAAGGGAGCUGUUAGUGCCAUAUGGAAUGCAAGAUGCUGAAGACACCAAGCUUUUUCUCCCUCUCAUGAAGAACAGACCAUAAGUAGUUUUGGACAUCUAUUUUUCUAUGCUGUGUGAAAAGUGAACCUGAAAUUAACUGAUGUAAAUGAAAAUAUUUGCAGAGGGGGAAC